rnacentral:tRNA from 1 species
AGCCAGGUCGUCAGGGGCAGCUGGCCGCUCUUGCCGACCGCGCCGACGAGCAGGAACAGGCACGCGAGUUCGAUGCCCGCCUGGGCCACC